rnacentral:lncRNA from 10 species
UCAUGAGGUCAGGAGAUCGAGACCAUCUUGGCCAACAUGGUGAAACCCCAUCUCUACUAAAAUACAAAAAACUAGCCAAGCAUGAUGGCACUUGCCUGCAGUGCCAGCUACUCAGGUGGCUGAGGCAGGGGAAUCGCUUGAACCAGGCAGGCGGAGGUUGUAGUGAGCUGAGAUCACGCCACUGCACUCCAGCCUGGUGACAGAGCAAGACUCCGUCUCAAAAAAAAAAAAAAAAAAAAAUUAGCUGGGCAUGGUAGCGCACAUCUGUAAUCCCAGCUACUGGGGAGGCUGAGGCAGGAGAAUUGCUUGAACCCAGGAGAUGGAGGCAGUGAGCCGAGAUCGCACCACUGCACUCCACCCUGAGUGACAGAGUGAGACUCCAUCUCAAAAAAAAAAAAAAAAAGUAUGUUCUCAUCAUAAAAUGAGAAAUUAAAAGUUUAAAAGAUUAGAUAAACAUAAUAGUUCUUAUAUUUUCCUCCCUACUUAUUAAGCAACUACUCUGUAUUAUUAGAAAUCUAAAGUUCAGGUAUUCUUUAAUUUUAGUUUCUGGAUUUUACCAAAAAAAAAAAAAAAAAGCGGUGUGACUUGUCUGUAGUAAAUUGUUGGGUAAUCUUCUAUUAGUGUAACGAUCUAAAAUCUUUCUAUCCAUUUCCAUAAAGUAAUAAAAUUAGGAAAAAUAUUUUAAUUUACUGUGGAAAGAGAAAAUUAUCCUAAACAAGCUUAAAGACAUUAAGAUAGCAAACCAUUCCAACUAGAUUUUAUUGAUACCUUGUGUCGUCACAUCAGAAUCUCAUGUUCUCGAUCAUCUGCUAGUGACAGAUCUAUUUGGAAUAUUAACCUUGGCUUUAAAAUCGUGAUAAGAGCAGAGCCUCACUUGAGAGGUACACUAAGAAGAACCAACCAUGUGGAAGAAAGGUGCAUAGAAGCUCAUGUGAGUAAGUAGAACUCUACCAGUUGUAGGAGGCUCAUCAUUCCCUCAAACCCCAGUCCAGAAUAGCCGCAAAAUAGGUAUCAUGCGCCAUACUAUAUUUUCACCACAAAUCUGUAAAUAACGUUUUUUGUUAUGGGAUCCCACAUGAAAUAGAAACCUAAAUGUUUCUUGAUAUUAAUGGAACUCUACCCUACUGCAAACAUAAUUUGUUAAUUCUCAUCUCUGUGCCUUCUUCAAAGAUGUUCUGUCUAAAACGGACUUCUUUCUUGUAUCUGCCAGUGCAUAUCAUGUUUUUCAUAAUCUAGCUCAAGAUUCUGAUCUACUGAGGCUGCCUUGAUGAAUCUUCCCCCAAAUGAUCACUUCAUUGCUUUGAAUAAAUAAUGUAAGAGGUAUAGCUGUAAUACAUUAUCCACAACUUGAUUUUCAAUGUCCUUCAGAGUUUAGAGUUUUCUUAUAUUUCUAUCUGUUUUCCCAAAUAGAGUAUUAAUUUCUCAAGGGAAACAUAAUACUUUGGGUUUUUUUUUUUUUUUUUUGCUUCUUCUAUCUUCUAUAGAGCUUAGUAAUAGUCACCGGCAGGCAGAAUUCCUUAAAUAUUUGAAUUCUGCUGUAUCUUAGGCUCUCAUGUCUUCAAAUCUAUAACCCUUAGGCUCCAAUUUAAUACCUUGGGAGGACAGCCUGGCUCUCUGUUCCUCUGCACAGCUACCCAGCUUAAGUUAUAAAACAGGGCAACAGAGGUCUAUAAUGUUCCUUUCAACUGCCACUUAGCCCCCAAUCAAGGAUUGAUUUGUAAGUCAAUCCUUUCAUCAAUUCUCAGUGAGCAACAAUCUAAUGUUAUCCUUGCUCCUAUUUCUUAACUAGCCCCUAUAACUUCCUGUCACUUGCUCCAAACUAAAACAUUACAAGAUUCACCACUGUGUGUGAUUCUCAGCUAUUCACCUUCUCUUAGCAAUUUUCCCUUGGUUUGGUAAUGAUGAGACACCAACAAUAAAUAUUUGCAGAGGAAGUUCAGAUUCAAAAAUUCAUCUUUCUCUGAUGAAGUAAGGUAAAGGUACCACUGCCAACUGACUGAAAAUUUUGAAAAAAGACAAAGUCUGGGGCAAUUUGACAGCCCAUAAAUGAAUCAUCUUCUACAUAGUUUUAAAAAACUAUAACUAAAACUAUAGUUUUAAAAAAACUGUAUAACUAAAAGGUCUUUUACUGGGAUUGGAAUUUUGUGCAUCUAUUUGGCUGGACAUAGUAUGGACACUGGGCCUUCUAAACCAAGGUUUCAUGGAAAGAAUUAACCCCUAAUUCCUUAGGCAUCUCUUGUAUGUAAUAAAUUACCUAGUAUCAUUCAAGAAAUAUGUAUAGAGAAAAGUCAGGUGCCCUCCAGAAGAGUCCCUCAAAUCAUUUUCUAUGUUCUGUGAUUUCAGACGAGAAACCCCAGCUGAGGAGGCAAAUAUACUCAAGGAAAGUAAUAGUUUCCAAAUGCCUGGCAGUGCCAGGAAGGGGCCAUGUCCAUGGACCACUAUGUAAGGAUAUCUCAGUCUCUAGUCCAGCGUGGUUUAUGGUGCCAAAUAAGUGCCAGGUGAACUCACUACAUCUGACAAAAUCUCAAGGAACCAAGUUUACCAGAUAAUAUUUAUGAUUAUGUGAAAAAGACUGAGGAAAUCACUCAAGUGAUCCAUCAUACAGCACCUCCAGUUCCAAAGAAUACUGACUUACUUCAGGUGAUAACACUCUACCAUUUUUAAGUUUUUCAUCCACAUUGUGUCUGCGUUUCUGGAGCUGAUCCUUUUCUUUCUGGAGGACUUCAACUUGUUCUGAAAUCUUUGUUUUCUCCUCAGCUGUACUGGUCUGGAGCUGCACAUUCUUUUCAGACAACUCUUGUUCCAGUAAGUUCAGGUUUUGCUCUUGUUCCCCAGGCUAGAGUGCAAUGGUGCAACCUCAGCUCACUGCAACCUCCGCUUCCCAGGUUCAAGCGAUUCUCCUGCUUCAGCCUCCCUGGUUGCUGGGAUUACAGGUGCUCAUCACCAUGUGCAGCUAAUUUUUUGUAUUUUUAGUAGAGACAGGGUUUUACCAUGUUGCCCAGGCUGGUCUCGAACUCCUGACCUCAGGUGAUCCACCCACCUCAGCCCCCCAAAGUUCUGAGAUUACAGACGUGAGACACUGCACCCGACCGGGGUGUUCAUUUUCUAAAAUCUUAAGUUGAAUGCCUUUUAAAAAAAAAAAGUCUAUUUAAACUCUGAGUUUACUGCCAAGAAUUGCCUUGACUAGGUUUUCAGAGGCAGUAUUUUUCUUUUUCCUUAUUUUCUAAAUUGAACUUUUCUUUCUUGGCUUACAUUCUACAUUGUAGAAUUAUGUUACAAUUUACUAGGGGUUGAGAUGUGGUGUGUUUAAACAUAUGAUUGGUUGGCUUAAACAUAUAAUUUGUUUUUACUUGUAUUUCAUUCUGAUCAGAAAAUAUGGUCAGAUUUAUGGAGAUGUUCACUAUGGUCAAAUAUCAGGUAAUUUGUAAAUUACUGUUCACAGUAAUUAUUUGUAUAUACUACCAUAAGGUUUAUUAUAGAGACACAUACUAUCAUAAGGUUUAUAACUUUAAAAAAGCAUUCCCCUCCCCCAAGCUUUUAAUUGAAUCCUACUCCAAGACGGCCACCUUCAACCUUUUCAGUUGGUUCUUCUGGUGUUUAUGUCCAUGUUUCUAAAUGGCAUUAUCAAUUUUAGACAUUGUCUACUGACUAUGUAUUAUGGGAGAUAAGGAUUUAGCACUCUUGUACCUACUCUACUUCCCAACCUCCUCCAUUCUCCCAAUAUAAGUUACAUUACAGUUUUUAGUUAAAUCAAUAUUCAUUUUCAUUAUUAUAACUUUGUUAUUCAUAGGUGAACUAUCUAGUGUGAAAUGAUCAUGCUUCUGUUUUGAUACAACUUUUUAUUGCACCUUAUAGCUAAUUCUUCUCCAACAGAACUAUAAAAUUCCUCAACACUUUUUCAUUUAUCAAACUUAUCAGGAAAUCUUUUCAAUCUAUUCUUUUCUGGAAACAUUUUGCCUGGAGCAUCCAUCCUCCUGCUCCACACUGGACCAGUUGUCCUGGGUCUUCCCUUUGGUAUUUCCUGAGAAUUUCCAUGUUGGAGCACAUUUUCAGAAUCCUGAGUCUUCCUUUUUCAUAGUUUGUGCCCUUAUUUUUGUGGAGCACAUUCUCUAGUAGUUUCCCUGGAUAGGCUUGAUGGGAGAUUUUUUUUUUUUUUACCUGAAAAUGCUUAUUCUAGCUUCACAUUUGAUUGUUUGGCUAAGAAGAAAAUUAUUUAUUAGACUUAAUUUUCCUCACGAGUUUAAAGAUUGCUUCAGAUCUUAAACUUCUAAUGAGGAAAGCUGAGAAGUCCAAUGCCAUUCUGAUUCUUGCAACUUACAAGUAGUCUUUUUUGUCUAGACGCUUUCAGGACCUUCUUUUUUCCUCAGUCAGUGUAUCCAAACCUUCACAGUGAUAUCUUUUGGGUACUCAUUUUGCUGGCCCCUUGAUGGGCUAUUUCUUU